UCGAAGCCUAGAAAGCACGACCGCGAAUGAGUUUUCAAAUCGGGGACCAUUGUUAGGCCCUCGGGCUUAGCAAUGCGCCCUCGUUGGUUGGUGAGUACACUUGUGUAUUCACCUUCCGAUACUUAACGAACCCCGGCGCGGACAGCGCCAAGGAAUCAAACCGAAAUGAGCAAGGCCCUUUAUCCCGUUGAUCGGUGUUUGAGGGCCUUGUCUAUUCAUUAAAUAUCAUAACGACUCUCGGCAACGGAUAUCUCGGCUCUCGCAUCGAUGAAGAACGUAGCAAAAUGCGAUACUUGGUGUGAAUUGCAGAAUCCCGUGAAUCAUCGAGUCUUUGAACGCAAGUUGCGCCCGAAGCCUUUAGGCCGAGGGCACGUCUGCUUGGGCGUCAUGCACUGCGAUGCCCCCAUACUUUGUGGGUGCAAACCUUGGCCUCCCGUCACCAACUUGCGGAUGGCUUAAAAAAGAGCCUCGAGACGGAGUAACGUCGCGACAAGUGGUGGUUAAGAGGCGAUUGCCCCUAUGACUUAGCGUGUUGCGGCAUCUCCCCUCUAUAGCUCGAAAAAAACCUUAGCAGAGCGCGUUUAUAGCGUGCUUCAGCAUC
rnacentral:misc_RNA from 1 species